rnacentral:rRNA from 1 species
UACGUAGGGUGCGAGCGUUCAUCGGAAUUACUGGGCGUAAAGCGUGCGCAGGCGGUUUUGUAAGCCAGAUGUGAAAUCCCCGGGCUUAACCUGGGAAUGGCAUUUGGGACUGCAAGGCUGGAGUGUGGCAGAGGAGACUGGAAUUCCCGGUGUAGCAGUGAAAUGCGUAGAUAUCGGGAGGAAUACCGAUGGCGAAGGCAGGUCUCUGGGCUGACACUGACGCUCAUGCACGAAAGCGUGGGGAGCAAACAGG